UACGAAGGGGCUAGCGUUGCUCGGAAUCACUGGGCGUAAAGGUGCGUAGGCGGGUUUUAAGUCAGAGGUGAAAUCCUGGAGCUCAACUCCAGAACUGCCUUUGAUACUGGGAAUCUUGAGUAUGGAAGAGGUGAGUGGAACUGCGAGUGUAGAGGUGAAAUUCGUAGAUAUUCGCAAGAACACCAGUGGCGAAGGCGGCUCACUGGUCCAUAACUGACGCUGAGGCACGAAAGCGUGGGGGGCAAACAGGAGUUAGAA
rnacentral:rRNA from 1 species